GUGGUGCCUUCCAUUUGCCAGCAUACACUCAGCUGCUCCUGGAGAGCCACAGGCUGUGAUGAGGGUUUGCAGUGGUUAUCUGGGAUGCUCUGCAGAACAGUGAGCCAUUAAGGGACAGAGGAAGGACGUGCAAUCUGCUCAAGCUCCAGAGCCAGCACCAAGGCUCAGAGCACACCAGGAGGAGCCUUGGCCACACUGACGUUUGAUGUCUGACCCCACAGCCCAUACUCAAGCCAGGAUGUGCCAAAGCUUUUCUCUUAAUCUUUCUACCCGCAUUGUUAGCAGUCUGGAGGUUACAGAAGAUUAGGUGAGAAACUCACUGCCUCCCGCCGGGAGGAGCCUUUCCCAUGAAAGCCAGAGCCCAGCUCCCAUCUGUCACCCCAUUACGUUUGGAGGUGGUGAAUAUAUUACCGUGCCGCUCGGAGAACUAAAACAAAACCAAAUUUCUGCUGGCCACAUGGCAACCCUCCACGAAAUUUAAUGAGGACGCUGCCCUUUGUGUGCUGGGCCACUUCCAACAGCUGUAGAGAUGAAGGCAGGAAGAUCUUGGCUGUCGCUCACAGUAGUGAUGCCUUCGAGCACCAAAGCUUUGCUGCCUGAGAUCCUGUGACACCGACAGCGAUGUCAGUGCCUCCCUUCCCUCUGAUUUCUCAGUGGGUCUUCGCAUUUUCAGGAGAGGGAACAAGAGCAUUAUUUUGGUCCCUGCUGUGAUCUGAUAUUGGGGAGCUUCCAGGACUUGAACAUCAGCAUCCUCUUUAGAGUGAUUAUGGAUGGAGCCCUCUGAUGAGCUUGCUCCCCCACUGACAACUGCAAUUCAUGGUGAUGCUGCAGCGAAAGUCGGGCGAGGGGUGAGGGG
ensembl:lncRNA